AAUUAAUAUAAUUUUUCCCAAUAAAUCUUAAGAAAAAAUUUGAAAUUAUAUUCAAGUAAAUAGUGUUGUCGAUUUAGAGCUGAUUUGGUGGACCAUUUGAUGCCCCAAAUCAACGUUAAACUCAUGCAAUCUAUUAGCACUUAUCUCACUAAUGGAUUGACGGAUAUUUAUUGAACAAUGAUGAAUGAAAAAUAUCAAAUGAUCCUAUUUUAGAAAAACAAGUGUUUGCAAAUUAACGGUGAAAAUCAUUUAAAUAAUUUAAUUUUGGAAUUGUGACAUGGCAACAAUAGUGCCAUAAUUUAAUUUAUUAAUUUCGAAUUAAUGUAUGCCUCAUGGACAAUUUUUACGGCCAUGUACAUAGGGCCCACUACGAUGUAUGUAUUGUAUAUCCAUGUUGUCCAUCAUUUUUGCCAACUCAUUUUAGGGCAUGGUCCAAAAAACGAGGCAAAUCCAAAUCUUUGGUGGACCACAUAGUAGGGAUUGAAUUCCCACAAUUAAAACUUAUUAUGAUUGUUAUUAUUAUUAUUAUUAUUAUAUAUAUUUUUUUAUUUUUAAGCCGCGACUUUUGUUUUCCUUGAUCCAAGUCCAUGCAACCUUAUCAGUAGUUUCGAUGGUAAAUAAACAUUACAUGGGCAUUCAAAUCCUAUUGUGUGGUCCACUUGGGAUCUGGAUCUGCAUCAUUUUAGGGACCAUGCCUUGAAAUGAUCAGGAAAAACUCAUGGGUGGCAUGGAUAUAUAAUACAACACAUAAAUCAAGGUGGGCCACAUGCACUAAAACAAUGCAAGUGCACAGUGGACCUUCAAUCCUACUGUGCGGUCCACUUGAGAUCUGGAUCUGCUUCAUUUCAGGGACCAUACCUUGAAAUGAUCGGGAAAAACUGAUGGGUGGCAUGGAUAUAUAAUACAAUACAUAAAUCAAGGUGGGCCGCAUGCACUAAAACAGUGCGAGUGCACUAAGCGGCAUGCGCCGCAAACCACUUAAAAAAAAAGGUGCAUGGUUGUUUUAUAGCCACGCCACCCAUUCAUUUUUAGGAGACCAAGAGAGGGAGAGAGAAAUGAGAGGGAAAGA